UUUUAUGAGAGUUUGAUCCUGGCUCAGGACGAACGCUGGCGGCGUGCCUAAUACAUGCAAGUCGAACGCUUCUUUUUCCACCGGAGCUUGCUCCACCGGAAAAAGAGGAGUGGCGAACGGGUGAGUAACACGUGGGUAACCUGCCCAUCAGAAGGGGAUAACACUUGGAAACAGGUGCUAAUACCGUAUAACAAUCGAAACCGCAUGGUUUUGAUUUGAAAGGCGCUUUCGGGUGUCGCUGAUGGAUGGACCCGCGGUGCAUUAGCUAGUUGGUGAGGUAACGGCUCACCAAGGCCACGAUGCAUAGCCGACCUGAGAGGGUGAUCGGCCACAUUGGGACUGAGACACGGCCCAAACUCCUACGGGAGGCAGCAGUAGGGAAUCUUCGGCAAUGGACGAAAGUCUGACCGAGCAACGCCGCGUGAGUGAAGAAGGUUUUCGGAUCGUAAAACUCUGUUGUUAGAGAAGAACAAGGAUGAGAGUAACUGUUCAUCCCUUGACGGUAUCUAACCAGAAAGCCACGGCUAACUACGUGCCAGCAGCCGCGGUAAUACGUAGGUGGCAAGCGUUGUCCGGAUUUAUUUGGCGGAAAGCGAGCGCAGGCGGUUUCUUAAGGCUGAUGUGAAA
rnacentral:rRNA from 1 species